AUGAUGGAAUUUCGCCUAUUUUUUGACGUUUGGGGGUAUUCUGUUUUUUCACCAUUUUGAAUAUGGAUAAGUUUUUUUUCACUGAAAAUGUGUUUUCUUCGAAGAACUUUGAGGAUUUUUGGCGAGAGAAUGCUGCUAAUGGAGAAGAUGACAAUAGAGAGAAACAGUGAAAAGAAGAGAAAGAGGUAAAGGUAAAGGUAAAAGUACACGGGGAGUGGGGUGGGUGUAGUUUUUAUUGGGAAAUGUUAGCGUUUUAUCGAAGAAAUAUAAAAAUUAACAAAAAAAAAACGUGGGGUUAAUUAAUAAUGUUA
rnacentral:lncRNA from 1 species